UUCUGUCUCUCUUCCUGUCUCUCUCUCUCUCUCUUCCUGUCUCUCUCUUCCUGUCUCUCGCUCUAGUUUGUCUCCAAGCGUCGUCCAGAGGACGUCAAAGAGGUGAUAGUGUGGAGGAGGUACAGUGAACUGAAGAAGCUAUAUGGAGAGCUGUCCUACACACACAGAAACCUGUUCAGGAGACAGGAGGAGUUCCCUUCGUUCCCUGGCGCUCAGCUCUUUGGUAGGUUUGAUGAAGGGGUGAUCGAGGAGAGGAGGAGUGCAGCUGAGGUCAUGCUACUAUUCACCACCAAUAUCCCUGCUCUCUACAACAGCCCUCAGCUUAAGGACUUCUUUAGGGGUGGUGAAGUGAUC